AUUGAACGCUGGCGGCAGGCUUAACACAUGCAAGUCGAGCGGGGGAAGGUAGCUUGCUACUGGAUCUAGCGGCGGACGGGUGAGUAAUGCUUAGGAAUCUGCCUAUUAGUGGGGGACAACAUCUCGAAAGGGAUGCUAAUACCGCAUACGUCCUACGGGAGAAAGCAGGGGAUCUUCGGACCUUGCGCUAAUAGAUAAGCCUAAGUCGGAUUAGCUAGUUGGUGGGGUAAAGGCCUACCAAGGCGACGAUCUGUAGCGGGUCUGAGAGGAUGAUCCGCCACACUGGGACUGAGACACGGCCCAGACUCCUACGGGAGGCAGCAGUGGGGAAUAUUGGACAAUGGGCGCAAGCCUGAUCCAGCCAUGCCGCGUGUGUGAAGAAGGCCUUAUGGUUGUAAAGCACUUUAAGCGAGGAGGAGGCUACUUUAGAUAAUACCUAGAGAUAGUGGACGUUACUCGCAGAAUAAGCACCGGCUAACUCUGUGCCAGCAGCCGCGGUAAGAC
rnacentral:rRNA from 1 species